rnacentral:tRNA from 1 species
AAUGAAUUGCCUGAAAAAGGGCUACUUUGAUAGAGUAAAACAUAUAGUUUUUUAAUUAUAUUCAUUA